UACAGAGGGGGCAAGCGUUGUUCGGAAUUACUGGGCGUAAAGGGCUCGUAGGCGGCCAACUAAGUCAGACGUGAAAUCCCUCGGCUUAACCGGGGAACUGCGUCUGAUACUGGAUGGCUUGAGUUCGGGAGAGGGAUGUGGAAUUCCAGGUGUAGCGGUGAAAUGCGUAGAUAUCUGGAGGAACACCGGUGGCGAAGGCGGCAUCCUGGACCGACACUGACGCUGAUGAGCGAAAGCCAGGGGAGCAAACGGG
rnacentral:rRNA from 1 species